AUUGAACGCUAGCGGGAUGCCUUACACAUGCAAGUCGAACGGAGUGGCGAACGGGUGAGUAAUGUAUCGGAACGUGCCCAGUAGCGGGGGAUAACUACGCGAAAGAGUAGCUAAUACCGCACACUAUUGACGCGGCCGGUCUGGGAGUAGCUAGUGGGUGGGGUAACGGCUCACCAAGGCGACGAUCCGUAGCUGGUUUGAGAGGACGACCAGACACACUGGGACUGAGACACGGCCCAGACUCCUACGGGAGGCAGCAGUGGGGAAUUUUGGACAAUGGGGGAAACCCUGAUCCAGCUAUCCCGCGUGUGCGAUGAAGGCCGUCGGGUUGUAAAGCACUUUUGGCAGGGAAGCGUUACCUGCAGAAUAAGCACCGGGUAACUACGUGCCAGCAGCCGCGGUAAUAC
rnacentral:rRNA from 1 species